rnacentral:rRNA from 1 species
UGGGGAAUAUUGCACAAUGGAGGGAACUCUGAUGCAGCGACGCCGCGUGAACGAAGAAGGCUUUCGAGUCGUAAAGUUCUUUUAUAUGGGAAGAUAAUGACGGUACCAUAAGAAAAAGCCCCGGCUAACUACGUGCCAGCAGCCGCGGUAAUACGUAGGGGGCUAGCGUUGUCCGGAAUCACUGGGCGUAAAGGGUUCGCAGGCGGAAUAACAAGUCAGAUGUGAAAGGCAUGGGCUCAACCCAUGUAAGCAUUUGAAACUGUAAUUCUUGAGAAGUGGAGAGGUAAGUGGAAUUCCUAGUGUAGCGGUGAAAUGCGUAGAUAGUAGGAGGAAUACCUGUGGCGAAGGCGACUUACUGGACAAAAAUCUGACGCUGAGGAACGAAAGCGUGGGUAGCAAACAGG